rnacentral:rRNA from 1 species
GACGAACGCUGGCGGCGUGCUUAACACAUGCAAGUCGAACGGAAAGGCCCUGCUUUUGUGGGGUGCUCGAGUGGCGAACGGGUGAGUAACACGUGAGUAACCUGCCCUUGACUGUGGGAUAACUUCAGGAAACUGGUGCUAAUACCGGAUAGGAGCUCCUGCUGCAUGGUGGUGGUUGGAAAGUUUCGGCGGUUGGGGAUGGACUCGCGGCUUAUCAGCUUGUUGGUUGGGUAGUGGCUUACCAAGGCUUUGACGGAUAGCCGGCCGGAGAGGGUGACCAGCCACAUUGGGACUGAGAUACGGCGCAGACUCCUACGGGAGGCAGCAGUGGGAAAUAUUGCACAAUGAGGGGAAGCCUGAUGCAGCAACGCCGCGUGCGGGAUGAAGGCCUUCGGGUUGUAAACCGCUUUAGCCUGUGACGAAGCGUGAGUGACGGUAAUGGGUAAAGAAGCACCGGCUAACUACGUG